AUCGUUUUGAUGUAUAUCCUUUGGAGAAAUGUCCAAAGAAUGCACAUGAGUUUGAGACAGCAGCAAAAAGAAAAAAUUGUACCGAAAACUCACGAUACCUGUGUGCUCCAGAUAAAUACCUCUCAAAUCUGAUUGAAUUCUGCACAGACCGACCAGUAUCUCUUUUUAAAAAUGGUCAUUGUGUACGACUUGAGGGAACAGGCGACCUGAACCAUUAUCGAUGUGAGGAUAAGUUCCAAAUGGGUUGUCCAACGGAGCCGUACACCGAUGAAGAAAUAUUUAAAUAUCCAGCUUGCCUUGAAAUCAACAUCCGAUUCCAUUGUUUUGCUGCUGAUAAAGAUUGCCCAGAAAG